rnacentral:lncRNA from 1 species
AAGACUAAAAUUAAGAACAAGAAUAGGGGCAAACUCUUUGCUAGCCAUAUGCCUUCAGGUCAGAAAAUACAAAUGCUAGCACAAUGCCUUCCACAUUCAAGCUGUUCAAUAAAUGUUUACUAAAUAAGCCAACAUCUUAGUUGGGGACAAUUGGAAAUUUUAGUCAGUACAAAUCCAAGUCCAAUUUGACUGCUGACUGAGUAGAGGAUGAGGAGAAGGGGAAGAAAUAAGAGAGAGAAAAGAUCUUCCUUGGCUGGGACAGUCAAAUUCUGCCACUGGCCCAUGUCCAGACCUCAUUCUUUCUUGCAGUGUGAGUUUUUAUGGUUUCCUCAGAGAUUUGCCCUGCUGAGGUCCUCAGACUGUGGUUCUUGGGCACUGGCAAUGCCAUAAAUGCUUACGGAAGAACCCCACUCAACUUCUACAUCAGAUCAUCAGACUCUAGUGUCUUGCCACCAAGGCUGUCUUCCCCCAGACAGGAAAUUCUUCAGUGUGUGGGUGGAGGAAGGAAGGGAGCCAGUGGCAGGAGAGGUCAUAAUUGGCUCCCUUCUACAGGAUUCACAUAGACCUCCAGGAAACCACAGCUUUUUCCUACUAGUUGUGGAAAUGGGACUAUUCCCAUUGCAUCCCCGUCUCUUUGCCAGGGUUCUCUUGCCUUGUGACUUUUUGCAUGCUUAUGUCAAGUAUCAGAAUUUAUGCCCCCCGAGGCCAAGCUCCACCCCUCAAGCUCCCAGAGGGGUUCUCUGACUUCCUGUCUACAUGCGGUUGGGGGAGAGAGUUUCAGAAACAUGUCAGCACCCUUAAUUCUCUCCACAGGAUUCUACUACCACACUCUUCAUCAACCUUAUUACAAUCUCCCUUCCUCCACCUCUCACUCUCCGAGAAGUCAAACAGACAAUCCAAAGCUCUCCUAGAAAAUCAUGAAUAGAUGAGUUGAUCCACAUUACUCUUGGUCCUUUGCAGCCCUGCCAGAACUCUGAUGCAACACAGUAAAUAUAAUAACCUGUUAUAUAGGGAAAAUUACUGAAUAUUCUGAUUUUUUUAAAAAUGACUUUGCCAUCAGAGGUUCCCGCCAUGGCACAGCAGAAAUGAAUCCAACUAGGAACCAUGAGAUUGCAGGUUCAAUCCCUGGCCUUGCUCAGUUGCUUAAGGAUCUGGUGUUGCUGUGCUCUGGCAUAGGCUGGCAGUUACAGCUCCAAUUCAAACCCUAGCCUGGGAACCUUCAUAUGCCGUGCCGUGGCUGUGGCCCUAAAAAAGCCAAAAAAAAAAAAAAUGACUUUGCUAUGACUUGGGCCACAUCCCACAAACAGAGUUAAUGGGAUCCCUCUUUUACCAAAGAAUCACUUGAGGAGGCAAGUCAGGCAAGAAUGCAUAUUGUAUUCCCAUUCACUUUUAUCCACUAGUAAGGCUGGGAUGAGAAUCCAGGAUUCAAUUCCUAAUCCAGAGCCCCCUCUCAUGACACUUUGAUAGGAGGAACAAUAACUCCUCAAUAUAAUCCUAUAAGCAGAGAAAUAAUCAGAAACUAAAAAAAAAAAAAAAAAUCCCUCCUCCUGUCUUUCUCUAUAAAACAAAUAAUCCUCUACAUCUUCCUACACUGCGUGUGUGAUAAGGGGCUCUGUCCUCUCUUGUAUCAUAUUUGGUAUUUAUGCAAUCCUUCUCCUCCUACAGUCCACCUAAUCUUAUGAAACAUAAUUCUUUUCCCUCUUCCUCCUCCCUACACAAACCUAAUUCCUGAUUCUCCUCAAGUAUGUGCAAACUAUUACACAAACCGUCUUUUAAAGUAAGCAUCAUACUUCAGUCUAAAAUAGCAACUGGGCAAGUGAACAUACUAUUUUAUAUUAUCUAAGCUUCUUUUAGCACCUUUUACAACAAAAGUGUUGAUUUUUUUUCCCCUUUAUAAAGUGGCUGUGGCAUUCGGUGGCAGCAUGCAACAGGCACAAGUUCAUGGUAAGUUCAGAGGAAAGGAAUGUUCAAAGAAAACCGAACCCAAAGCAUUGUGGGUAGUGAUAUGGAAAGUUGACAAAACAAUGAUAAACAAUGGAGGGAAAAGAAAUAAUUAAGUGUUCUGAAGCACUGUAUCAGCAUUUUAUGCAUUGUUAAUUUUUUUUUUUUAGGAAACUAUUUUAUUCUGUGUGGUUUCAUGGAGAGAUACUAACCUGGUCUAUUGGAACAACACUCUGCAUGUAUAAUGAUUAUAAAACUUUUUUUAUAAAAAAGAAAAUGGACAAAUAUGUCUGCCUGAGAUAAGGCUUUCUGAACAAAAUAUAAUACAUGGAAAUCCUUUCUAGAAGCAUUUUGUGGAUUUAAGGAGGUAGGAAACUUAAAACAGUAGAAUUACAGUAAACAAGUAAGUCUAAACAAGGUGUGAAAAAUUGGACUAUAUGCCACAACAGGCAAAGCAAGAAGGAAAAGAAAAGCAGCUAACAGAGAAAGGUGAAUACUUUAUACACUUUUUAAAGGUACCUCUGAAAAUUCAAGCUGCUGAGAUUUGUAAAAGAGACAAAUUUUUUAUACUGUUAGAAUGCAGUCCUACCUCAAUCAUAGUUCAGACUAUAUUCGCUGUCUUGUUGGGUGUGUUUCAACAUAGAUUAUGUGCUUUUAUCUUACUUGAAUUCAUUCAUAUGACAAAAAAUUUAUUUAGUUGCAGGCAUUAUUUUAGGCACUAGCAACUCGGGGGUGGACAGAACACACAAAACUUCCUGUAGCCAUGAACAUUACAUUCAUGUGAGCAGAAGAGACAAUAAACACAACAAAUAAACACUCGAUAUAUCAGAGGACAGUAAAUUCCAGGUAGAAAAAUAAAGCAAAGGAAAAAGAUGAUGUUCCGAAAGGAAGUCUGUUGCAGUAAAGUUUAAAAGUUGUUAGGGGAGACAGUCAUGAGAAAGUCACAUGUGAUCAGACCUGAAGGAGGUAAGAGAGCAACUCACUGAUUUAGCUGAGGUGUGUGUGAGAAAUGAGCAAAUUCAAAGGUGGGAGUUGCCCCAGUAGCUUAGACAAAUAUGGAGGAAGCUUUUGUGGCUGGUGGGGAGAGAGCCAGAGGUGGAAGAGUUUAUCAUGUGUUAAAGAAGUAACCAGGGAACCAGAAAAAUCAGCCAUCACAGACACUGUAAGGACAUUAGCUCUUAUUCUGAUGGAGAUAGGAAGACACGGAAGUUUUCUACACCCUGACAUUGAUCUAAGACAUCAUAUGCCAACCACUUCUUUUCAGAAAUAGUUAAGUUUUCAAAAUGUGAACACUUUACAGUAUUUUUUUAAAACCCCUUGUAAACCUAAAAUGAUAAGAUGGGCCCAGGAAGUAAAGACUGAAAAAUGAGGUGACUGUAACGUGGUUACCAUGACUUCAGUCUCUUUCAAUAACAAACACCUAAGAUGCCACAUGAAUUCAGUGAUUUCCAUCAAACCCUGUUGAAAAUCACUGAUUGAAUUCAUGGUACCAGCCAAUAAAUGCAAACUGUUGGCACACCAAACCAAUUUGAUUGUCAUAUCUUAGACAGUUUACUUCUUUACAUAAACCAGGUGCCUACAAAGAAAAAAAAAAGGACAUGCGUUGUUGACAUCAGUCAAGUAUCUGUUUGUUUUGUUCCCCACAUGUAAGAUGCUAGAAUGAGUCGUCACUGUUUUAGAGAUGUCUGAUAAAGAAGCACUGAGACUGGUUAGCUGAAGGAACGGUAGUAUCUCCUGGUAGGCCAAGCUGCACAAUAAUCAGUAUUAACUUGAAUCAUACAUUAUUGUGCAUUAUCAAUGGAACAGGUUGAGACUUGAGUUUCUUUUGCAGGAAAAAAUGUUUUGAAAGAGCAAGGAAAAGCAGCUUUUUAAACACCCAUUCUAGUAUAAGGCUACCUAAAAUAGCAGCAAAAAUGCCCUGCUUUCCUGUCAACUAUGAAUAUAGGAUUGGUCAGUAAAUCUUUUUAUUAUUAAUCCAUUAAAUGCUAAUAUUUAGAAGUUUGAGAAGCUUCCAAAAACCUGAAGUUUUCUAACAGGUAUUUAACAAGGAAGCUUACGAAGUUGACAGGAGGGGUUGAGCUAGCGCUGGUUGGAGGUUGCUGAUUUUUGAAAGUUCUCUAAACACAUUUUAUAUUUCAAUGCUACAUCCUUCUUGAAAUAGAAGAUACAUUGCCUCAAGCAAAAACAGAAGUGUAAUUUGAGGGUGAAUGCAAAUGGCAUAAGAAUAGGAAGCUAGGAAUGGAAUAUGAAAUCUAUCUGAAUUCACCUGUAGGAAGUGCUGUUGUGUACUGUCCACACAACUGAUCUUCCCUUCAGUGCUGAAGAGCUCACUGCCCCAGCUGCCAGCAGUAUUGAAGACAAACAGCUCACAGCUGUGCCCCUCUCUGGGCACUGCCUCAGCUGAAGGGAGCUGCCUUACCAUAGGCUACACUCCUCCCCAGGGGAAGCAAAGGUCUAAUGACUGCUAAAUGAGGAAAUACAAAAGAUAGCCCCUGACUUCAAUUCAGGACAGCUCUGAAGGGCCAUCCCAGCUCUAGAGCUCCCCAUAGGAUUGGCUGAGGCCUCUGCUGCAACUGCAUCUCAGUUCAACCUCUCCAUCUGCCCAUCCUGCUUCCCUCACUCCUCAUAGGUAUUGUUUCCAGGAGCACACAACAAUAAAUUUUAUAAUUGCAAAUAUCAGAGACUCAGAGCAUGUUCCCAAAGGAAGCUGACCAAAGACAUCACAGCAAUAAUAAAUACUCUAUAUUUCAUACCAUCUGAAAGAACUGGGAUUGAAAACAGUAACUGAUUUUACAGUAGAAUGUUGCUUUAGAAACCAACAUUAGUCCGUGGAGCUAGCCCAUAGCAGUGCUCACCCUAUUAUGAAGUGCUUAUCUUUAAGUUUAGUUAAAACAAUUAUGAAUCACUGACUUAAGUGAGGAAUUGUCAUUUUAUAGUGACUGUAAAGUGCCACACAGCCCAUGGAGGCUAUAUGGUGGCCAAAUCAGAAUAGUAGCAGACAUACCUAAUUAAUUUACUCCUAAGCACGGUAAAACACUGUGCUUGCUGGAAAAGCUUGUUCAAUCUUUUUUAAAUACGUAAUCGUAUAUGAGUUCAAGGAGAGUAAAAACAAAGUAGCAAAAGGAAAAAGCAAAUCUCAUAGCAACAUACUACUGAGUUUUGUGUAGAUCCAAAGAGAGACUCUCAGAUUAUUAAAGAGAUGGGUUUUGAGCAUUAAGACUAGGAAAUAGGGAUCAUAAGGAGUCAGAAUGGGUUAAAGUGGUAAAUACCACACAAAAAAUACAUCAGAUAUAAUAAAUCUGGCUUCAGUUAAGAUACUGACUUCCUGCUGAUUUUGUUAAGGUCAAGACAGAGAUAUAAGCUGGAUAAUAAAAUAAAUAGCUAAGGUUAUAAAAUUUGAACUACAUCGAGAGAGAACUUCUACCUUAACUGAUAUUAUUUAGAAAAAAGUUUUGGUGGCUCCACAUUCUGCCUCUAUCUCUCCGACCUUGGCCUGGUGGUCUGCAAAGGAAUUGGGUCCCAGGGAGGACCUGGGUUUCCAGGGUAGAAGCAAGUGUUAAUGGGAAGAGGGUUAGCUUGAUUUCCCAAGGAGAACAUUCCUUAUGACAGGCCCGACAUGUUAUCUGAAGAAUUAUUGUAAGCUCUUAAUCAGAACUACACAAUGCCAUCUUACAAAAGACAAUAAUAUGAAGGAACAAAGUACCACAACAUAAGGGCUAAUGGAUUAAGGAGACACCAGAGAUAAGUGUCACUAAGAAGAAACAACUGGCCCUUUAGCCAUCAACCUUUAACAAACAUUUAUUGAGCACCUCCUAUGUGCCAGGAACUGCUUUACGCACUGAGAGACAGCUAUGAACAAGAGCUAUAAGACCUGUUACAGUGUAAUGGUGGGAGAAGCAGAAGAUAAGUAAGCUAAUAAAUUAUGAAGAAAAUAUCCACUGUGAUGAUUGCUGGAAGAUAAAUAAAACAUGGCUAUGUGAUAAAGAGAGACUGAAGCGAUUCAGGAAAAAAAAGGCCUCCUUGACGUGGUGCCAUUUGAACUAAGAUCUGAACAGUAAGGAAAAAUAACUCAUUUGAAAGUAUGAGGAAAGAACAUUCCUGGCAGAGAGGCCCAAUGUUGGAAAAGCCUCAUAUGGACAAACUUGACAUUUCUAAGGAACAGACAGGAUAGUCAUGUAGCUCAAAUAUACUGAGUGAGAGAAGUAACAGUUGAGAGUGGAGAUCAGAGAGAUAAUCAAGAAUCAGAUCAUGUAAUUAUAUAUUGAUACGGGGAAGAGCAACAUGACUGUCUUGUUUAGAAAGAUCACUCUGACUGCUGUUGAAAAAAUCACAUGUAGUACAGACGAGGGAGGUCAGAGGGAAGUUCAAGGGCCAGGUUAUUGCUAUCAUUGGCAAGAAAUGAUGCUAAGGGGAGACAUCUUCUUAGGAAGAUGAAAUGUAAUAAGGAUAAUCUUAAGACCUGUUUUUAUGCCCACAAUCUCCCCAAAAAUAUUAGCACAAUUUAAGAUUGGAGAUUCAUGUGUUAGCAGCAGCACAGAUUUUUAGAGCACAGAAAAAAAAUAAAAUGAUGGGUGUGUAUCAAAGACACAUAGAAGCCAACCUGAAAAGGGCCAAAGGGAGCAAUGCAUAAAAACAACAUACUAUUGGAUUCUAAUCCAAAGUAUCAAAUAACUAUCCAUGAGUUCACACUGACAUAAAUAAAUGACUGAAUAGAUAAAUAAAUGGGAAAAAGCGACAAAUCUCCUACAUAGAAUUUCAUAUAAUCAGUAUACAUACUCCACCUAAAGGAGGUGGAGUUUAACUCCUCACCUCUUAACUGUGGGCUCUGAAGACCACAGGAUGGAGAGGGAGAAAAAAAGUAAAUUUACAAUGGGAAACCUGAGCCAGGUGAUCAAGGUUAAUGUCAUCAGUGAUAAGUCAUGUUGACAGCAUGUGCCCUUGACACGAUGUGAUAAGAAUGACACUUCACCUUUGGGAUCUUCCUCCCCCAAAACCCAUAACCCCAGUCCAGCCCUAAGAAAAACACAAACUGAGGGAUGUUCUACAAAACACCUGACUUUCAAGGUCACAGAAAACAAGGAAACUCUGAGAAGCUGUUACAAUCCAGGAGAACCUAAUGAGACAUGACAACUAAAUGUAAAUGUGUAUUCUGGAUAGGAUCCCGGAACAGAAAAAAAGACAUUUUCCCUAAAAACUAAGGAAAUCCAAAUGACAUACAGAGUUUAGUUAAAGCAAUGUACCAGUGCCGGGUCAUUAAUUGUGCUGUAUGUGUCACAAUAACAUAAAAUGUUUACAAUAAGAGAAAUCGCUUAGACAAUACAUGAGAACUCUGUACUUUCAACUUUACAAUCUAAAACUAUUGUAAAAAAUAAAGGUUUAUGUUAUCUAAAAAAGAAAAAAAAAAAAGCAGAGAAUCCUUGUAUUGGUUCCUAUCAACACAAGUAUGGUACCUACAAAAUGGAAGCUAAAGCCACCUCCAGUCUGGUUGGAGCAUAGCCACCGUACUACAGGCAACGCAGGAAUGCCAGGUGCCAUGCGUGGAGAGGGAUUAGAAAAAAACACUCUAGAAACAAGAAUAAGCAGAACGGACAGAGAUUAAAGUUGAGAAGCAACUCCAAGUACCAGGAGAUGCUUAACCCGGGAAACACGAAGGACACAGUAACUUAUCUCAAAACAUAUGAGGAACUGUUGUAAAAAGUGAGGAUUUGACCUCCCUCUAAAGUCUCAAGUUAUAGCAUAUGGUAAAACUGGAAGGAAGAUUACAAGUGGGAAACUAUCUACUGAAGAAAAGGAAGAACCUAUUAUAAACCUAGAAUCACCUGCCCUGGGAGACAACAGCGUGCUAUUCCAAUACUGAGCAUUCAGGCCUCUGUGGAAAGACCUUGUCCAAACACUGCAGAGGAGACUGGU